UACAGAGGGUGCAAGCGUUGCUCGGAUUUACUGGGCGUAAAGCGUGCGCAGACGGCUGAGCAAGUUGGACGUGAAAGCCUGGGGCUCAACUCCAGAAAUGCGUUCAAAACUACUCGGCUCGAGUAUGGGAGAGGGAAGUGGAAUUCCUGGUGUAGAGGUGAAAUUCGUAGAUAUCAGGAGGAACACCGGCGGCGAAGGCGGCUUCCUGGCCCAUUACUGACGUUCAGGCACGAAAGCGUGGGGAGCAAACAGG
rnacentral:rRNA from 1 species